AUCAUUUCCACAAUGUCACAGUGGUUAUACAAGUGAGUCCUGUUCAGCGUGGGAGGAAAUAACACAAGAGGCAAAGAUCACUCGGGACCACCUUGUAUAUUGGCUACCACAGAACCCAACACAAGCAGUAAGUUAAAAUCAUGAAGCUCCUGACGUCAGAGGACAUGGCUCUGCCAUUUGUUAGGUAGGGAUCCUGUUAAAGGCUCAGCUUCCUCAUCUGGAAAUGGAAAUAUAGGCCUUGCCUGGUUUGCUGUAAUGGGUCGUGAUGAGGACCAAACUACAAAGAGUGGUACAGAUGUUAAUUACAAUGAUUUUUCCUAUGCCACCCAUGGAAACAAAAAUAGCAAGAUAGAGAAGGCUAAAUCCCAGUUUUUUUUGACUGCUAUUCAGCAAAGCCUAGGAGACUUUCAUGACACCUGGAGAGGCGGCCGUAGUGUAUGUGUAAGAGUACCGGUUCCAGAGUGGGGCUCCCCGAGCUCAGCCCCACCACUUACCAACAGCGGACCUUGGGCCAGAUGCUGAAGCCCUUUGUGCCUUGGUUUCCUGACCUAUUACUGUGGAAAUGAUGACAGUACCCUCCUCAUGGCAUCGUGAGAAUUAAAUUAGCUAAUUCAGGUGAAGCAUUUAGAAGAGGACCUCCUGACACUUAAUAACUGCUUGAUAUAAAUAAUAGCUUCUGCUACAGAGUGGCCAUGAAGUCUGGACAUGUAGAUAUUAUAUUAUCAUGCAUCAUAAGAGAUGGAGUCUUGCUCUGUCUCCCAGGCUGGAGUGCAGUGGUGUAAUCUCGGCUCACUGCAACCUCUGCCUCCCGGGUUCAAGUGAUUCUCCUGCCUCAGCCUCGGAGUAGCUGGGACCACAGAUGGAAAGUCAGUGUAUCACCAAGUGAUCCAUCUCUGUGGGAAUAAAAAGUAUCUGUUAA
rnacentral:lncRNA from 1 species